AGCUGAAUGGCGCAGCGGAAGCGCGCCGGGCUCAUACUGAUGUCACAUCACGUGACUAUCACGUGACCCGGAGGCCCUCUGAUCGAAACAGAGUUCAGCUA